rnacentral:rRNA from 1 species
UACGAAGGGUGCAAGCGUUACUCGGAAUUACUGGGCGUAAAGCGUGCGUAGGUGGUUUGUUAAGUCUGAUGUGAAAGCCCUGGGCUCAACCUGGGAAUUGCAUUGGAUACUGGCAGGCUAGAGUGCGGUAGAGGGUAGUGGAAUUCCCGGUGUAGCAGUGAAAUGCGUAGAGAUCGGGAGGAACAUCCGUGGCGAAGGCGGCACUCUGGGACGGUACUGACGCUGAGACGCGAAAGCGUGGGGAGCGAACAGG